CUGGGCUCGAAAUGUACCGGAAUCCGGCAGAAACGUCGGCGUCUAGCAAUAGACCGGUAUAUAGGUGCUGCAUGGCUGUCGUCAGCUCGUGUCGUGAGAUGUUGGGUUAAGUCCCGCAACGAGCGCAACCCUUGAUCUUAGUUGCCAGCAUUCAGUUGGGCACUCUAAGGUGACUGCCGGUGACAAACCGGAGGAAGGUGGGGAUGACGUCAAAUCAUCAUGCCCCUUAUGACCUGGGCUACACACGUGCUACAAUGGGUGGUACAAAGGGCUGCAAAACCGCGAGGUUAAGCGAAUCCCAUAAAACCACUCUCAGUUCGGAUUGUAGGCUGCAACUCGCCUACAUGAAGCUGGAAUCGCUAGUAAUCGUGGAUCAGCAUGCCACGGUGAAUACGUUCCC
rnacentral:rRNA from 1 species